CAGAGGGAACAAUGCGGCGCCUCGGGUUGUAGCGCCGCGCGGGAGCCCGGAGCCCGGAGCGCGGGUGGCCGAGCGACCGAGCGGGCGAGCGGGCGGGCGAGGACGAAGGCAGGCGAGCGCGCAGCCGUUCCUUCCCAAAGCCAUGGGCGCGGCGCUGCGCGCGGCUGCAGAGCGGCGCGGCCGGAAGGUGCGGGGGGCCGGGGUGCGGGCCUGGGGCCGCCUCUAGCCGGCUCUGAGGGCGCGGGCCCCGGGAAUGAGGGCGCCCGCCGCGGGAAGCCCGUUUGCGCGCCGCGGCGCCGUCCCGCCCAGCCAGCGAGCCUAGCAGGCAGACGCGCGGCCGGCGAUCUGGGGGCGCGCCGCCUCGCCUUCCCCAAAAUGUGAAUCGGGGAGGGCGGAGACGCAGAGAGCGCCCGGCCCCAAGCUCUCGCCGAACCCCUGCCCUGCGCGCCCAGGCCGCGCCGUGCCCCGCGCGGGGCUGCAGAGCCACCGUGCCCCGCGCUCCCUCGGUGCUGCGACCCCCCGGCUUCGGCCCGCAGCGGCUUCGUGGUUCCCGAGGCGGUCAGAGCCGGGCCCAGGACGGUGCGUCCGGCCUCGCCCCCGGCUUCUCGCCCAGACAAGUUUGAACAAUGAUCACAGUCAACCCAGAUGGGAAGAUAAUGGUCAGAAGAUGCCUGGUCACCCUGAGACCCUUUCGGCUGUUUGUCCUGGGCAUCGGCUUCUUCACUCUCUGCUUCCUGAUGACAUCUUUGGGAGGCCAGUUCUCUGCCCGGCGCCUGGGGGACUCGCCCUUCACCAUCCGCACAGAAGUGCCAGGCAGCCCAGAGUCACGUGGUGCCCUUCGCAAGAUGAGCGACCUGCUGGAGCUGAUGGUGAAGCGCAUGGAUAUGCUGGCCAGGCUGGAGAAUAGCAGCGAGCUGCACCGGACUGCCAGUGUGGCGCACUUAGCCGCAGACAGGCUCACCCCUGGGGCCAGCCUCAUUGAAAGGAUCCAGGCCAUUGCCCAGAAUGUGUCUGACAUCGCUGUGAAGGUGGACCAGAUCCUGCGCCACAGCCUGAUUCUGCAUAGCAAGGUGUCUGAAGGUCGGAGGGACCAGUGUGAAGCACCCAGUGACCCCAAGUUCCCUGACUGUUCCGGGAAAGUGGAGUGGAUGCGCGCCCGCUGGACCUCUGACCCCUGCUACGCCUUCUUUGGAGUAGACGGCACUGAGUGCUCCUUCCUCAUCUACCUCAGUGAGGUUGAGUGGUUCUGUCCCCCGUUGCCCUGGAGGAACCAGACAGCUGCCCGGACAGCCCCCAAGUCCCUUCCCAGAGUCCAGGCUGUGUUCCGAAGCAACCUGUCCCACCUCCUGGAGCUGAUGGGCAGUGGGAAGGAGUCCCUCAUCUUCAUGAAGAAGCGAACCAGGCGGUUCACCGCACAGUGGACCAAGGCUGCCAAGUACCUGGCACAGAAGCUGGGGGACAUUCGGAGGGACCAGAAGCAAAUCCUUGUCCACAUUGGCUUCCUGACAGAGGAGUCUGGGGACGUGUUCAGCCCAAGGGUACUGAAGGGCGGGCCUCUGGGAGAGAUGGUACAGUGGGCAGACAUCCUGGCUGCUCUCUACGUGCUGGGCCAUAGCCUGCGGAUCACAGUCUCCCUGAAGGAGCUGCAGAGUAACUUAGGGGUGCCGCCAGGCCGGGGGAACUGCCCACUCACCGUACCUCUGCCUUUUGACCUCAUCUACACGGACUAUCACGGCUUGCAGCAGAUGAAACAGCACAUGGGACUGUCCUUCAAGAAGUACCGGUGCAGAAUCCGAGUCAUCGACACCUUUGGGACGGAGCCAGCGUACAACCACGAGGAGUAUGCCACGCUGCACGGCUACCGGACCAACUGGGGUUACUGGAACCUCAACCCCAAGCAGUUCAUGACCAUGUUCCCUCACACCCCAGACAACUCCUUCAUGGGCUUCGUGUCCGAGGAGCUCAAUGAGACCGAGAAGCAGCUCAUCAAAGAUGGCAAGGCCAGCAACAUGGCGGUGGUGUACGGCAAGGAGGCGAGUAUCUGGAAGCUCCAGGUACGGACCGGAAGCCUCCAUGCGCGUGCCUUUGCCUUACUGCAGCAGUGGCUGCUCUGUGGGGUCUCCCUGAUGAUGUGUCCUUGACUCUAACACUAGCUCCAUGGAGGGCAAGGAGAAGUUCCUGGCCGUCCUCAACAAGUACAUGGAGAUCCACGGUACCGUGUACUAUGAGAGCCAGCGGCCACCCGAGGUCCCCGCCUUCGUGAAGAACCACGGCCUCCUACCGCAGCCUGAGUUCCAGCAGCUGCUGCGGAAGGCCAAGCUCUUUAUAGGGUUCGGAUUCCCCUACGAGGGCCCAGCACCGUUGGAAGCCAUUGCCAAUGGCUGCAUCUUCCUACAGUCUCGCUUCAGCCCGCCCCACAGCUCCCUCAACCACGAGUUCUUCCGGGGCAAGCCCACCUCCAGGGAGGUGUUCUCCCAGCAUCCGUAUGCAGAGAACUUUAUUGGCAAGCCGCACGUGUGGACCGUGGACUAUAACAACUCCGAUGAGUUUGAAACAGCCAUUAAGGCCAUCAUGAACACCCAGGUAGACCCAUAUCUGCCCUAUGAAUAUACCUGUGCAGGGAUGCUGGAACGGAUCAAUGCCUACAUCCAACACCAGGACUUCUGUGUGGGUCCAAGCCCUCUUCCACCAGGGGCCAGCACUGCCCAGAGUCCAUUUGUCUUAGCUCCUAAUGCAACUCAUCUCGAGUGGGCCCAGAACAUCAGCUCAGUUCCGGGAGCCUGGCCCCCUACCCACUCUCUGCGGGCCUGGCUGGCAGCCCCUGGAAGGGCCUGCACGGACGCCUGCCUGGACCAUGGAUUGAUCUGCGAGCCUUCCUUCUUCCCUUUCCUCAACAGCCAGAAUUCGUUCCUCAAGCUGCAGGUGCCCUGUGACAGCACUGAGUGGGAGAUGCAUCACUUGUACCCUGCCUUUGCCCAACCCGGCCAAGAGUGCUACCUACAAAAAGAGCCACUGCUCUUCAGCUGUGCUGGUGCCAGCACCAAGUACCAGAGGCUCUGCCCCUGCCGUGACUUCCGCAAGGGUCAGGUGGCCUUGUGCCAGGGCUGCCUGUGAGGCCGGAGCCACCCUGCCCAGAACCUGCCCACCCGCACGUGGUUGGCAAGCACCAGCACUUUCUGAGCUCCGGUCACGCUCACUACGUGUCCCCUGGCUGCAGCCUCCCCUGGCCAGGGAUGGGAAGAGGAAGCUGAGGAGACAGCAGCUCCAGGCCUGCAGCUCCCUCCUAGGGGCUUCCUUGCCUCGCCAUAGGACCUGAGGCCAAGCAUGUGGGCUGACCUCCCUGUCGGGUGUACCCAGGAGCACGUGGAUGGAGAUCCCUGGCUUUCUGAGGUCUGGACCAGCUGGAGAUGUGGCCUUGACCAUGCUUGGACCCAGCAUAGGCCUUUUGAUCCACAAGGCUGGGAGCAUGGCCAUGCCGCCCCCUAUUCACCAGAGGUCUCAAGGGAUAGGGAACAGGUCACAGCCACACUUGCUGUGAGGGCCACACCCUCACAUGAGGCAACAGUUCACGCAGGGCCAGUCCAGCCUCCUCAGUUGCUUGGGGGGGGGGGGGAACGACAAAGGGACAGAGAGCUCAGGGAGGCUAGUGCCCCUCCCUGUUGCUCAACCCUGCUUCCUCCAGCAGACUUCCCUCUGGGCCUCUCCUGACACCCAGUUCUGGCAUGGCCUGUGACUGGUCCACAGCCUUGGUCUCUGCCCCUCUGGUGGCCACCUCCACCCUAGCUUCUGACAACAGGUCCCAGGCCCCACCAAGGCCUCCUCUGCAGACUCUGACAACAUUUCCAACCUUCGAGCAUCUCAUGCCGGCCAGGCUGGGAUGAAGUUUCACCCACAAUACACUAGGCUGGUUCUGAUACGCAGGUCCAUCAGACCUCCCCUGGCUCCCACCCUUCUGGGCCCCAUACUUGCCCCUCCCUUCUCUUUCCUCCAGCCUCAGGCCACUUCAGUACACUCAGACUUCAGUACCCAUCUCUGUGGCAUGCCCUCCUCCAGUCCUGGGUCACCCUUCCCUCUCCCACCCCAGGGCCAGCCAGGUUCCAGGAACACUGCCAUUGCUCAUAUAUGGCCCGCUCCCAGGCCCCCUGGGACCAGACAGUUGUAGGAAGGAACUUUCCUGCGUGGGACUUGCCAGUGUCCCCUGUCCUGGUUGGCCCCUGUCUGUGGCAGCAGAAUCCAGAGCAACAAGAGACCAGUGGUUCCGAGGAUCUGCCUGUCGGAGGAAAGCAAUAGAGACACUUAUCUCUCUCUUCUCUCUCUCUUUUUUUUAAAGAUUUAUUUCUUGAAAUAAAUAUUUUAUUGGGAUGUGAGA